rnacentral:rRNA from 1 species
UACGUAGGGUGCAAGCGUUAUCCGGAAUUAUUGGGCGUAAAGAGCUCCUAGGCGGUUUGUCGCGUCUGCUGUGAAAACCCGAGGCUCAACCUCGGGCCUGCAGUGGGUACGGGCAGACUAGAGUGCGGUAGGGGAGAUUGGAAUUCCUGGUGUAGCGGUGGAAUGCGCAGAUAUCAGGAGGAACACCGAUGGCGAAGGCAGAUCUCUGGGCCGUAACUGACGCUGAGGAGCGAAAGCGUGGGGAGCGAACAGG